rnacentral:rRNA from 1 species
UCGAGAAUCAUUCACAAUGGGGGAAACCCUGAUGGUGCGACGCCGCGUGGGGGAGCGAAGGUCUUCGGAUUGUAAACCCCUGUCAAGUGGGAGCAAAUUAAAAAGAUAGUACCACUAGAGGAAGAGACGGCUAACUCUGUGCCAGCAGCCGCGGUAAUACAGAGGUCUCAAGCGUUGUUCGGAAUCACUGGGCGUAAAGCGUACGUAGGCGGCUUGGUAAGUCGUGUGUGAAAGGCAGGGGCUCAACCUCUGGACUGCACAUGAUACUGCCAGGCUAGAGUAAUGGAGGGGAAACCGGAAUUCUCGGUGUAGCAGUGAAAUGCGUAGAUAUCGAGAGGAACACUCGUGGCGAAGGCGGGUUUCUGGACAUUAACUGACGCUGAGGUACGAAGGCUAGGGGAGCGAAAG